GGGCAUGUGGUGUAGUUGGUUAUCACGCUCGCUUAGCAUCCUCCAAUUCGGCUACUAGCAUGCGAGAGGGGUCCGGUUCAAUCCCGGACAUGUCCA